CACCCAUCGAGACCGGCAGAGGGACAGGCCCUUUGAAGCCGGGGCAACCCAUCGCAGCGCAAGCCGCGAACGGGUGCCAAAUCCUGCGGCGCCGCGCUCCAGCGGUGGCCGGAAGAUGGUUG
rnacentral:ncRNA from 2 species